rnacentral:rRNA from 1 species
UACGUAGGGGGCUAGCGUUGUCCGGAAUCAUUGGGCGUAAAGAGCGCGUAGGCGGCCAGAUAAGUCCGGUGUGAAAGUCACAGGCUCAACCUGUGAAUGCCGCUGGAAACUGUCUGGCUAGAGUCCGGAAGAGGCGAGUGGAAUUCCUGGUGUAGCGGUGAAAUGCGCAGAUAUCAGGAGGAACACCAAUUGCGAAGGCAGCUCGCUGGGACGUUACUGACGCUGAGACGCGAAAGCGUGGGGAGCAAACAGG